AUUGAACGCUGGCGGCAUGCCUUACACAUGCAAGUCGAACGGCAGCACGGGUGCUUGCACCUGGUGGCGAGUGGCGAACGGGUGAGUAAUAUAUCGGAACGUACCUUAUUGUGGGGGAUAACGCAGCGAAAGCUGUGCUCAUACCGCAUAAUCCCUAGAGGGGACAGCGGGGGACCGUAAGGACUCGCGCAAUUAGAGCGGCCGAUACAUGAUUAGCUAGUUGGUGAGGUAAAGGAUGACCAAGGCAACGAUCAGUAGCUGGUCUGAGAGGACGAUCAGACACACGGGAACUGAGACACGGUCCAGACUCCUACGGGAGGCAGCAGUGGGGAAUAUUGGACAAGGGGCGCAAGCCUGAUGCAGCCAUGCCGCGUGUAUGAAGAAGGCCUUCGGGUUGUAAAGUACUUUCAGCGGGGAGGAAGGCGAUGUGGUUAAUAACCGCGUCGAUUGACGUUACCCGCAGAAGAAGCACCGGCUAACUCCGUGCCAGCAGCCGCCGUAA
rnacentral:rRNA from 1 species